UCUUCGGAGAGUUUGAUCCUGGCUCAGGAUGAACGCUGGCGGCGUGCCUAAUACAUGCAAGUCGAGCGAACUGAUUAGAAGCUUGCUUCUAUGACGUUAGCGGCGGACGGGUGAGUAACACGUGGGCAACCUGCCUGUAAGACUGGG
rnacentral:rRNA from 2 species